UACCGACCGAGUUAUAGGCAAAACUUGGUGCAAAAAUGGGCCUUAUGAAAUUUUCAAAUUUAUAGAUUUUUUACAUUUUUUUAUUAUUUUUCACUCUUUUUUUUGUUUAAAGCAUUGGUUGAGUGAAAACAAACUCAUUGCAACAAAUUGGCAUUAAAAUAAAUCAAUUUAAAUUUUUUUGCAAAAUUUCUCAAAAAAAAUGGCAAGGGGUACCCCUUAUGAAAUUUUCGAGUUGAAAAUUUUUUGAAAUUUUUUUUCUCAUUUUUUAUUCUUUUUUUAAUUUACAGGAUUAUUUGAGUGAAAAUAAACUCAUUGCAACAAAUUCCCAUUAAAAUAUAUCACAUUUAUAAAUUUUGCUACAUUGGUGAAAAAUGAGGAAAAUUUUACAUUUUCUCAAACAGGGUAAGGAACUUGGUUCCUCGAAUAACUUCUGGCACAGACAUCUGAGGGCAUGGCCGUCCAAGAAGAAAAUGUAGCCAUUGGUGCCAUCUAUCGACCACAAGUUAAAGAUUGGCGAUCCGUUGGAUACCGACCGAGUUAUAGGUAAAAGUUGGUGCAAAAAUGAGGAAAAUUUUACAUUUUCUCAAACAGGGUAAGGAACUUGGUUCCUCGAAUAACUUCUGGCACAGACAUCUGAGGGCAUGGCCGUUCAUGAAGAAAAUGUAGCCAUUGGUGUCAUCUAUUGACCACAAGUUAAAAAUUGGCGAUCCGUUGGAUACCGACCGAGUUAUAGGUAAAAGUUGGUGCAAAAAUGAGGAAAAUUUUACAUUUUCUCAAACAGGGUAUGGAACUUGGUUCCUCGAAUAACUUCUGGCACAGACAUCUCAGGGCAUGGCCGUCCAUGAAGAAAAUGUAGCCAUUGGUGUCAUCUAUCGACCACAAGUUAAAGAUUGGCGAUCCGUUAAAUACCGACCGAGUUAUAGGCAAAACUUGGUGCAAAAAUGGGCCUUAUGAAA